rnacentral:rRNA from 1 species
GACGAACGCUGGCGGCGUGCUUAACACAUGCAAGUCGAACGAGAGGACAAGAGAAGCUUGCUUCUUUUGGAAUCGAGUGGCAAACGGGUGAGUAACACGUAAACAACCUGCCUUCAGGAUGGGGACAACAGACGGAAACGACUGCUAAUACCGAAUACGCUUGGGAGACCGCAUGAUCUUCCAAGGAAAGGGUGGCCUCUACUUGUAAGCUAUCGCCUGAAGAGGGGUUUGCGUCUGAUUAGGCAGUUGGUGAGGUAACGGCCCACCAAACCUACGAUCAGUAGCCGGUCUGAGAGGAUGAACGGCCACACUGGAACUGAGACACGGUCCAGACUCCUACGGGAGGCAGCAGUGGGGAAUCUUCCGCAAUGGGCGAAAGCCUGACGGAGCAACGCCGCGUGAGUGAUGACGGCCUCGGUUGUAAGACUCUGUGAUCGGGGACGAACGGUCC